UUGGCCUCCCAAAAUGCUGGGAUUACAGGUGUGAGCCACUGUGCCUGGCCUAGGGGUACAAGUUAUAAUCCUCAGAUUUGAUCUGAAAAGUAUUGGGAUUACAGGCAUGAGCCACCGUGCCCAGCCUAGGGGUAUGAAUUAUAAUCCUCAGAUCUGAUCUGAAAAGUAUUGGAAGCAGAUAGAAAAAUGCACAGUGUUUUCUCCAGCACUUUACACUUCUACAAGAAAGUCAGAAAAGAGUUAGGAAAGUUGUUUAGGAACUAGAGACUAAUGGCCGGGCAUGGUGGCUCAUGCCUGUAAUCCCAGCACUUUGGGAGGUCAAGGCAGGAGGAUCACUUGAGCCCAGGAGUUCAAGACCAGCCUCGGCCACAUAGUGAGACUGUGUCUCUACAAAAAAAUACAAAAAUUAGGCUGGGUUUGGUGGCUAACACCUGUAAUCCCAGCACUUUGGGAGGCCGAGGCAGGCAGAUCACGAGUUCAGGAGAUCGAGACCAUCCUGGCUAACAUGGUGAAACCCUGUCUCUAUUAAAAAUACAAAAAAUUAUCCAGGCAUGGUGGCGGGUGCCUGUGGUCCCAGCUACUCAGGAGGCUGAGGCAAGAGAAUGGCGUGAACCCAGGAGGUGGAGCUUGCAGGAGCUUGCAGAUCACGCCAUUGCACUCCAGCCAGGGCAACAGAGCAAGACUCCGUCUCUAAAAAAACAAAAAAUACAAAAAUUAGCUCGGCAUGGUGACAUGUGCCUGUAGUCCCAGCUACUUGGGAGGCUGAGGUGGGAGGAUUGCUUGAGCCCAGGAGGUCAAGGCUUCAGUGAGCCAUCAUCGUACCACUGCACUCCAGCCUGGGCGACAGAGUGAGAACCAUCUCAAAAAAGAAAAACAAAAAAGCAACCCAGAGACCAGACUUGUCCUGCUUUGCUAAGGGAUAAAAGGAAUAAUAGAAAGAAUAAUAAAUCACGGUGGCUCCCCAAAGUUAUAUAUCAAGUUGGUGCCAGAAAGAUCUGCACCACACUUCUGCCAUAGCCAGUGAGAACAACGAUCUUCUCCCCCUUUCUUCGUCUUGAUCCUUGUCAGAUCUCGCCUCCAUAUUCUGCUGUAUGCACUUCUCUAUCAGGUAAUUUCAUUUAUUAGUGGAUCUGCCACAAAAUACCGACUUUUUAAAAAGGAAAAUAUAAAACAGACAUUAAAGCUUAUAAUACAGGCCGGGUGCGGUGGCUCACACCUGUAAUCCCAGCACUUUGGGAGGCUGAGGCGGGCGGAUCACCUGAGGUCAGGAGUUCAAGACCAGCCUGACCAACAUAGUGAAACCCUGUCUUUACCAAAAAUGCAAAAAUUAGCUGGUGGUGGCGGGCGUCUGUAGUCCCAGCUACUCUGGAGGCUGAGGCAGGAGAAUGGCGUGAAACCGGGAGGCGGAGCUUGCAGUGAGCCGAGAUUGUGCCAUUGCACUCCAGCCUGGGCGACAGAGCGAGACUCUGUCUCAAAAAAAAAAAAAAAAAAAAAAGAAUUACAAAUGGGGCCGGGUGCAGUGGCUCAUGCCUAUAAUCCCUGCAGUUCAGAAGGCCAAGCCGGAGGAUCCCUUGAAGUCAAGAGUUCAAGACCAGCCUGGGCAGCAUAGUGAGACCUCUAUCUCUAAAAAAAAAAAAAGAAAGAAAGAAAGAAAAUAAAUUAGCCGGGCAUGGUGGAGUGCACCUGUAAUUCCAGCUAUGCGGGAGGCUGAGGUGGGAGGAUCACUUGAGCCCAGGAGUUGGAGGCUGCAGUGAGCCAUGAUCACAGCACUAUACCCAGCCUGGGUGACAGAGCAAGACCCCAUUUCUUUUUUUUUUCCUUUUUUUUUUUUUUUUGAGAUGGAGUCUCACUGUGUCACCAGGCUGGAGUGCAGUGGUGUGAUCUCGGCUCACUGCAACAUCCGCCUCCCGGGUUCAAGCGAUUCUCCUGCCUCAGCCUCCUGAGUAGCUGGGAUUACAGGCAUCCACCACCACACCCAGCUAGUUUUUGUAUUUUCAGUAGAGACGGGGUUUCACCAUGUUGGCCAGGAUGGUCUCAAUCUCUUGACCUCGUGAUCCACCCACCUCGGCCUCCCAAAGUGCUGGGAUUAUAGGCGUGAGCCACUGCACCUGGCCAAGACCCUGUUUCUUUAAAAAAAAAAAAAAAGACAAGUUGUAGGUUAGUAUUUCCUACCUCUUCUGCACCCUCCUUUCUCUUGUGCUACGUCUUAAAGAUACCCCAUGUCAGAGUGUGUGAUGGGCAAUUGUGUGUGCCAACUUGACUGGGCCGUUUAGUGUCCAGAUAUUUAACGGCAACUCAAUCCUCAUUUGGGCGUGUUAGCCUGACCUAGUUAUAGAGCAACCUGAAAAUCUGCUAGCUUUGAGAGGGACCAGAGCGAGAGAACGCACUGUAGCAGGUUCCGACUGUGAUGCAAGCUGCUCUCCACGUGGGCCACGUGAUCCAGCUGAUCCAGUGAUGCUUGAAGAGACCGUGGCAGACAAGGAUGCUGUUUGCAGCCUUUGGCAGGCCCCGUAGGUGAAUCGCAGAGCAAGCCUGUAGGAUUUUGGAGCAAAGCUCUGCCAUCCUGUGGACAGUACUCUCCUUUUGAGACACAGCUUUUGGACUGCUACUGGGCCUUCUUGGAGACUGAUGCUUAGCCAUGGGCCACGGAGUUACCAUGUGGCCUGAGCUGCCCGUCGUGAACUGGAGGUUCUCUGACCCAUCAAGCCAUACAGUUGGGUGUGCACAGCAGCACCGUGCUUCACCAUCUAAUGGAAAUAGUAUACACGUGACUGGGCCCAAGCAGGCCCUGAAGGCACCAGGAAGUUAGAUGGAGAAGCAGCUUCAAAGGCCCUUGGUUCCCACUGCCACGACUCCACCCUGCCUUCCCUUUCCCAGCCUGCACCUCUAGCAUCAUGGGGAGUCCUCCAUGAUCAGCUGACAGAGAAAGCGAAGACUCACAUCCCAGUUUGCAGAUGGUUCUGUACGACGUGCAGUCUCCGCCCGAAACU
rnacentral:lncRNA from 1 species